rnacentral:rRNA from 1 species
UACGUAGGUGGCGAGCGUUGUCCGGAUUUACUGGGCGUAAAGGGCGCGUAGGCGGCUUGACAAGUCACUUGUGAAAUCUCCGGGCUUAACUCGGAACGGCCAAGUGAAACUGUCAUGCUAGAGUGCAGAAGGGGCAAUCGGAAUUCUUGGUGUAGCGGUGAAAUGCGUAGAUAUCAAGAGGAACACCUGAGGUGAAGACGGGUUGCUGGGCUGACACUGACGCUGAGGCGCGAAAGCCAGGGGAGCAAACGGG